ACACAUGGCAAGUCGAGCGGGGAAGACUAGCUUGCUACUUUACCUAGCGGCGGACGGGUGAGUAAUGCUUAGGAAUCUGCCUAUUAGUGGGGGACAACAUCUCGAAAGGGAUGCUAAUACCGCAUACGUCCUACGGGAGAAAGCAGGGGACCUUCGGGCCUUGCGCUAAUAGAUGAGCCUAAGUCGGAUUAGCUAGUUGGUGGGGUAAAGGCCUACCAAGGCGACGAUCUGUAGCGGGUCUGAGAGGAUGAUCCGCCACACUGGGACUGAGACACGGCCCAGACUCCUACGGGAGGCAGCAGUGGGGAAUAUUGGACAAUGGG
rnacentral:rRNA from 1 species